CUGCGCAGGCUCCGUCCCUUGGCGUCAUGUUUAAAGCCUCCAUCUUCGCUACGUUGCACGUGCAACGGGAAUCUGAGACGAAACGUCCCAUCUAGCGACAACCGACCCAAGGACUUGGCCGCGUGCGCAUCCGCCAUGCGGCAAUAAGGGUCCCUGGACAUUUCCCGACUUUUAACUAAACACAGGUGCGUCACCCUUUAGAUAAGCGGCACAGCAUUCGCUAUUCACCGGCCACGGUCAUCGCAGGGGUCAACGGGCUCCUCGCUUCCCGCCGGCCUGUAGGUGGACACUGAGAUCGCCCAGAUGACACAAGCAUUUCUGGAGGAUGCAAAAUCCAGUAAUGCCAAACAAGAUGCCAGUCAAGGCGUGGAAGCUAGUUCAUGCGUGUGGAGGACAAGGAGAUGCUUUGAAGAGUGGUUCAAGAAGCACAAAUAUUGCGUGUGUGGUAAGACAGCUUCCUGCAGGAAGCCUGAAGUCUAGUUCCAAGUCUAGUUUCAGGUCCCUGGGAGUUUACUUCUGGUCAAAGCUGUGGUCACAAAAAUUAAGAUUACUGUUCUGUUUGAUCAGAACAGUUGAUGUCAACUGUUCAUGUUUGAUCCUUUUGUGUAAAAAAGGACAUUUUCCCAUGUAGUAAUGUCUGUAUGAAAUACUCCUGGACAAGAUGUAGAAAGUGAAGCCAAGCCUCAUUAGAGAAAGUAGUUUGCAACAGAUGAGCUUGCACAUCUGCACUGAAACUUGUGCAUGAAGGACUGCUUGUGACAAAGAAAAAAGACAUUUGAUUCAAGACUGCAGCCAUGCUACAAACAUUAACUUUUAAUGUGUGAAUUGUGUGAGAAUCCUGUUUUCCAAAUGUGGGUGUAGCUUGAUUGGAGUUAGCGUGACCUGCGAGUUCUCAGCCUCCUGAGAGGUUCUUGCUAAAUGGUUUGCAGAACAUAGAGGAGGUGAUAAACUUGGGACUGGAAGACUUAAAUUUGCUGUACAGGGAUCUGCACAUCUGUGGAAAACUUUAGGUUGUAUACAAAUAAAAAAGUGACUUAGUUGAUAGCUGAUCAUUUUAUCAAACUGUCCGGUACAUAAAUGUCAAUUCAGGGUGCCUUGGUUGACUUUAACAGUGCUUUGAUUUACAUACUUGGAGUUUAAAUGAACGGUUAUCCUGCUGCUGUCUCAUUUAAUACUGAAAUACAGACUGAGCCUAAAUGCUCAUAUAUACAAAACCUUUAAUGAUUCUUUUUUUCUGUCUGUUGCCAGUUUUUCUGCUAGUUGUUGUAGCUGUUCUGCUGGUGCUGGUGCUUUCCUUCAUCACUAAAUGCAGACUUCCAUCUGGUAAGCUUUUGGAACAUCUUCCAUAUGAGAGAGAUUUCCUCUGACUGCUGACUGGUCCAGGAUCACAGCAGUCAAACACACUGAUAACUAGUACUCUGCAGUGCCUGCAGCGUGACAAAACCUGGGACUUCCAUCACUAUUUCAGUUGUUUUGAUGUUGGUAUAAGAUGGAAUAACCUCCACGCCUCCAGGCAGAAUACAAAAGGAGAGAGGAUUCUCCCUGCAGAUAAAAUCCAGAUGAUACAGUGGUAAACUGUUUCUUUUCCCUGCAUUGUUACUGGUCAUAAGAGUGUAGUUUCUUGCCUGGCCGUGGUGUACGCAUGUCUUGCCUGUGCUUGUCACCAGAAACUUAGCUGAUUAUACCAGCUAGUGCAUGCACUAAAGCUGACAUCACAUCUUCAGACAUAGAUUCCAAGCUUAUUGUGUGGGCUGCUCAUAUAUGUGGGCUUGAGGGCUCCUUUAUUGUCACACUUGGCAGACGACUAGGUAAUAGCAGUUGCCUCAUCUUCUUCACAAAUAGUCUUUGGGGAUCGUUCUGCCUCUUUCUUUUUAAAAAAUUCAUUUGUGUUACAUGCUGUAGCUUUAAGAAGUCAGCCCUACCUCCCGCUGGCACAGUAGAGGCCAGAUGUGCACUUGCUGUCCUGUGCAGAACCCUUCUGUAGGAGCAAAGGCUGUGCUGCCUGCGGUACUACCUGAGGUAUCCAAGUCACGGCGUGCAUGAGUAUCUCAAUGCAGCCUCCACAGCCUCGUCUGCAAGGGAGCUCUUGAAUCUCUGCAUUAAAUAUAUCUGUGGGCUGCCCCCUGCAACAUGGGUGUAGUAGUGAGGUCCUCUGCACAUACAUGGAAGCGGGUGGAGGAUGAUGGUGACAUCUGUCCCUGUUGAUUUUUCUUUGCUUUUUUAGGCUUUUACUUAAAUGGAAUCAGUCACACUUUCUUUCAGGGGUUGAGGGCAGUGCUCACAGGUGAUUUGCUAAGGGGUCUCCAGCUACUCUCUUUGCUACAUGUAAUUGAUCAGAAAAGAAGAGAGCAAUUCACUUUCUGUAAGCCUCUCUACUCGUGUAACAGCCAGUCACUUUCAUUUCAGUAUUGGCCAUCUCCAGGGUUAAGCAGUGGAUAGUUGCCCUUUGGGUGCAGAAGGUCUGAAUUCAAUCCCAGCAGGAUGACUCGGGGAAAUACGCUUUAUACACUGCAUGAGCCUGGGUGUAUGAUAAAAGACACCAUGCUGCACAGAGAAGGUCACUGUAACCAUUCAGUAACAAUCGGGGCAGGUUAUUUUUGUCUGGAAAAUAGAAACCAAAGUAAAUGGAAAUUGAUUAUCUUCAUUGCAAGAAAUUAAACGUCACCGAAACAAAACAUGCCAGUGAAUCCUGUCAGCCCUACAGAGCUGUGACAGAAAGAAGAUGGAGAGGGCAUCAAAACGCGCUGUUGAACAACUCCAAUGAACCAUUCUCCAAACCAUUAUUUCCAAAGUGGUGCAAAACCUGGGAUGUGCCCCAGGGACUGGAUAGGUUACAGAGAGAAAUGUUAUUUCUUCCCAGAGGAGCAAAAAAACUGGACAUCUAGUCAGACCUUCUGUACUGAGCAUGGAUCCUCGCUAGCUGUUUUUGAAAGCCCGGAUGAAAUGCAGGCUUUCACUAAGCUUUUGAAAUUUGAAGAGGCCUGGAUUGGGUUGCGCAAGAUAGGUGAAAGAUACUACUGGGAGAACGGUAUUGCCUUGGAGAUGGACAAGUUCCAUAUACAGAAUCACUCCGACUGUGCCUACUUGUAUGACUCCGUUAUUUCUACGUCAGCAUGCUCUUUGCCUAGGUACUUCAUCUGCGUCAGGCUUCCCUAAAGCGAUGACUUAACUAUCCAUUGAUACAGCCUAGUGAUGGUACACGUGCUGCACCUAUGCUGUCUCAGACCAUCAGCCUAAAUCGGAGAGAAGAGGAUUUGUCCGAGCUUCCAAAACGUGCUUCUAGGUGGCCUUUCCUAGGACAGGAGUGUGCUAGUCCAGUUUACAGAUCACCUACAAUAUUUACCAGUGCUGGCUGACAAAGCUCAGGGUUGAGUGGGAUUGUUGCUAAUCUUCUGAUAAGUAAGGAUCUCUUUCGUAUCCUGCUUCCUCUUAGAACGUGGCCUUGGGGAUACACAGCAGCCAGAGACACCAGCCAGCCAGGACACCUCUGAUUCUCUGGAAACGUGUUUUAUACUUUGCUGAACUUUAUGCUGUAUCACUAUCUGCAUAGACUUAUGCAUGCUUAUAUAGAAAGACUUUCAGUUGAAAUUGUGUUCUUUUAAUGAAGCUAAUGUCCUCAGUUUGCACCCAUGCCGGUCCGUGGCCAUCGUUGCUGUCAACACUUCCUAUGUCUGAAUGAUGAGAAGUUCCAUAUUUACCAAAGGAAGCGGCUACAAAGUCUUUCGUAUGCUGCCUUUUUUUGUGAGGGCUUUCAAAUUAAUAUUUACCAGGUUUGUCCAUGCUAAAAUUUGAGCUUGUGCAAAAAAGCCAAAAGCACCCCCACCCCAAUGCAGCGGGGUUAUUUGUGACCAGUCUAGUGCACAAUACUGAGGAAAAAGGCAUAUUCAGGGUUUUUUUGUACCCCCUGCAAGCACUACGUGCCCAAAAUCUCCUGACGCUGGAGACUGCAGUGUUUACACACAAAGUGCAGGAAAAAAAGGUUCUAAGCAGACAGCUGUAGCAGACUGGGACAUGAGAGCCACCACCAUUGGUGCCAAAACGGGCAGAGUAACUGCUCAGAGACUAAUUUUGUCUUUGAGCAGCAGAGGUAUUUAUUUCAUGCAGCAUUGGGGAACUAGCCUGUUGCAGCACUCUCAAAACCAUCCAGCUGCAACAAGGUCUUUCACCACCUCAUACCAGCAUACCCUUCAUACAGUCCCUCUGCUGCCACCUCAUCCAGGGCCUGUGUUCUCUCUCCUCUUGCUUCUUCCCCGGCUGCUCUCUCUUCAUUGGCUCUCAACCACUUUGCUUAAGCAGCCACAGCUGUACCUUAUCCACAUGGGCCAACCCGCCACAGCUGUAUGUUAUCAAUGCUGAUUAACCCAGCUUCAUUCCACUACACUAACUACACUACACUAGCACAAGACAAACUAGCUCCAAAGUUUUCAGUGAAAAGUUUUUGUGAGAGGUUACAACAUCUUUACAUACAUAUUCAUUUGAUCGUGACAUCUAAUCAUUCUAUUCAUAAUAGACAGGAUCUAGGUGGAGUAAACCUUUCAACUUUCUCUGUUCAAUGAUUUCCUGACUCAUGGUCUCCUUAUCUCCUUCAGGUGCCCACCAUAUCUUUUCUAAUUAUUCAGAGGACAUUCCUUUAACAUCAUCAGUGGAACCUUUUCUAAUUACAUCCCUUUCUCAACACAGAGCAUCACCCAGAGCAUUGCACCAAACUCAUCCUGACCGAUCUUUUUAAGACCUUGCUCUGUUUACCAUUUGCUAGUGUCCCUUUGCUGAAGCUUCUUAGGCAUUGUCAGCACAAGCCCUCGGCUGCUGCAUUCCUGGGGGGCGUGUGAAGAGUCUACAUUAUCUUCUCUCAGUUGUGCUGUGUUGCAGAAACCUCCAGCAGAAGGGUAGAGCCCAUAAUUGGGGGCGGUAACUUCACUUGCCUCGGCAACAUCUGCCAGAAGUUCUGUUGGAGCCUUCAGUUGGCUGGUUACUGAAGGUACGUCAGCAGAGGGUUGUAUGUUUCUCUGCCUCUCACAUCUUGCCUGCUAAUGAUGUUAGUCAUGGAAUCAUAGAAGCAUUUAGGUUGGAAUGGUCUUACGGUCUUCAAGUCCAGCUGUGAAUGAUGUGGCAGCCUGGUAAGAAAUUCCUGUAAAAAGAGCAUUAUAUAAUGGUGCUGAAGGUGGCAGGGUGUGUCACUGAAUUACUUUUUGGGGUGCUGUGUGUAGAGAUGCUAAUCCUGAAUCAGGUUCCACUGAUGCCAGUUUCACACCCGGGUGCUUCCAGAGCCACCUGCACUAAGGUUAUCCCUUGAAAACUGGUGCAAAUGAAGUCAGAACUCGUACUCUGCAUUUCAAAAGCUGCUACCUGUCAUAACUCGGAAUAUUUUGCUACAAAUGGAAUACUAAGAGGAAUGUAAUGAGCAAUUAUUCAAUUGUAUUGAAUUGUAUCAACAAUUCAAAGUACUUGCAAUGUGGGAAGCUCCUGGACUGAGUUUCUGGAAAGGGGCUGUUGGAGAGGGGAGGUGGAAUAGGAGGCGUAGGACAGUUUGGGGCUUUUCACUGUUGUAAAACUUGACUAUGGGAUCCUGAGAGAAAAAGGUAACCAAGAACUGUCUUGAAUAAAUGGAAUUUCCGUACAAAUCCA